GUCUCUUUCGGGAUAUUCGAUAAAAUCGAAACAAUAAAGAGAAGUUUAGCAUUGUCCCGACUCAAAAAUAACACAAAUUGAAAAAUGAUUAAAUUGU
rnacentral:snRNA from 1 species